CACAGUCGUGCUGUUCAUGUACGACCGUCGUAUUAAGUUUAUGUAUAUUGGAAAGCUUAAGUCCAAUAUCUAGUGUCAGAGCACAAGGUGCACGCUACACUCGUUCCAACAAAAAAUAUUGGCACCCCACAAUGAUGAGAAUGAAUAUAGCCUAAUAAUUGGACCAUGGGAGUGCUGCACUCGUUGUCGGAGGUCAAGUGCAGUGAUCAGUGAAGCAUUUUUGGUUGCGUUAUGGGAAUAUCUUUCACAAUUCGGAAGUGUGUAAGAGAAAAACCAUUUUUCCUGUAGCGCUUGUCCAUCAAACAAGGCCUUCAGCGAUUUGUGCGUAAAUGUCUACACCAAAGGUCAUCUUGUUGAUUAGUGUGGUGGUUGGAAUUAAUGGGAUCGGCGUUUACGACCUCAAGUGCUUCCUUGCUACGAAUCAAAGGAUUUGGAUCCGUUACCGGAGUUUUGAAAGAUGCACUGAGGGACAAUGGCACACAUGUAUAUAUUAUAGAGUAAGCAACCAGGGUCAUGGAAAAUAUUUAUUGACACAAACGUACAAGGUUUCCGGAAGAUGGAGACGUGCGCAAUAUUAUGCAGCAGUAUACGAAGGCAGACAAGGACCAAUAAUGAGAUUGAUCCGUCUACCAGGGUCAAUUGGCGUGGAAUACACGAUGGUGUUCUGGCACAGCAGAGAAAGUUGUGCCGUUUUUACGGUAAAUACUCAAUGUGGAAAACAAUGUGAGAUGCAUGUGUGGGCCGACCACGUAGAAAAACACGUCCCACAAUGCCAACUUGCGUAUAAGCAGCACUGUCCGGGUCAGCAAUACGCUCCGUACACUCACCAUUGUCAGUAUGCAUAGCAAGUGCCACCUGGGGCACUUGCGAUAAAAUCAAGGCGCAGCCGAUACAUAAUAGCACAUUGCAAAAUAAAUCUUUAUCGUUAGUGCGGUCGCCUUGCUCAAGGCUGAAUAUUUUCUAGCGGCAAUAAAUAAUUU